UACGGAGGAUGCGAGCGUUAUCCGGAUUUAUUGGGUUUAAAGGGUGCGUAGGCGGGAUGCCAAGUCAGCGGUCAAAUCGUGGGGCUCAACCCCAUCCAGCCGUUGAAACUGCAUCCCUUGAGUGCGCGAGAAGUAUGCGGAAUGCGUGGUGUAGCGGUGAAAUGCAUAGAUAUCACGCAGAACUCCGAUUGCGAAGGCAGCGUACCGGCGCCAGACUGACGCUGAGGCUCGAAAGCAUGGGUAGCGAACAGG
rnacentral:rRNA from 1 species